rnacentral:sRNA from 1 species
AUGUACCACCCGUACACUCCGGCUCUGAGCGCGCCGCCCGCACCCACCUGGCGACCGCUCGCGAGGUUGUGUAAGCC